AUUGAACGCUGGCGGCAGGCUUAACACAUGCAAGUCGAGCGGAGAUGAGGUGCUUGCACCUUAUCUUAGCGGCGGACGGGUGAGUAAUGCUUAGGAAUCUGCCUAUUAGUGGGGGACAACAUUCCGAAAGGAAUGCUAAUACCGCAUACGUCCUACGGGAGAAAGCAGGGGAUCUUCGGACCUUGCGCUAAUAGAUGAGCCUAAGUCGGAUUAGCUAGUUGGUGGGGUAAAGGCCUACCAAGGCGACGAUCUGUAGCGGGUCUGAGAGGAUGAUCCGCCACACUGGGACUGAGACACGGCCCAGACUCCUACGGGAGGCAGCAGUGGGGAAUAUUGGACAAUGGGGGGAACCCUGAUCCAGCCAUGCCGCGUGUGUGAAGAAGGCCUUAUGGUUGUAAAGCACUUUAAGCGAGGAGGAGGCUACUGAGACUAUACUCUUGGAUAGUGGACGUUACUCGCAGAAUAAGCACCGGCUAACUCUGUGCCAGCCGCCGCGGUAAAAC
rnacentral:rRNA from 1 species